rnacentral:rRNA from 1 species
CAGCCGCCACGGUAAAACGAAGGGGGCUAGCGUUGUUCGGAAUUACUGGGCGUAAAGCGUGCGCAGGCGGUUCGUUAAGACAGAUGUGAAAUCCCCGGGCUCAACCUGGGGGCUGCGCUUGAUACUUGGUUGCUUGAGUGGGGAAGAGGGUCGUGGAAUUCCCAGUGUAGAGGUGAAAUUCGUAGAUAUUGGGAAGAACACCGGUGGCGAAGGCGGCGACCUGGUCCUUGACUGACGCUGAGGCGCGAAAACGUGGGGAGCAAACAGGAUUAGAUACCCGAGUAGUCCCUGUCUCUUAUAC